rnacentral:piRNA from 1 species
UCAGAACCCAGUGAAAUCUCUGUUCAGGA